AGCUCCAAUAGCGUAUAUUAAAGUUGUUGCAGUUAAAAAGCUCGUAGUCGAAGAAUGGAUAGAAUUUAAACGGUGUAGUUAAAAGACUAGAACUGUUUUAAAAAUUCAUCUUUAUUUUGGGGAAAUUUAGUGCUAUUUAAUUAGUGCAAAAAGGAACCAAGACGUUUACCUUGAGAAAAAUAGAGUGUUUAAAGCAGGUUUAAAAGCUUGAAUACGUUAGCAUGGAAUAAUAAGAUAGGACGUUUUGUAAAUUUUAUUGGUAUUGCAUAAAAUGUCAUGAUGAAUAGGGACAGUUGGGGGCAUUAGUAUUCCUAAGCUAGAGGUGAAAUUCUUGGAUUUUAGGAAGACUAACUAAUGCGAAAGCAUUUGCCAAGGAUGUUUUCA
rnacentral:rRNA from 1 species